UCGGCGAGCCUGAGCUGAUAUUGCCGACAUCCUUUCCACUUUUUAUACCUUUAAUACAAGCAAGAAACAAGAAGUUUAAAGGAAUGGGAAUUCAAGAUGUAUCUGUGAACACGAAACAUUGACGAAACGAAACAAAACACUCUAAACGUUCAAGAGUUCUACUGGUGGUGCAGAGGGUCGUUUUACAUAAUCCUGCCAAUUAGAGGUGUCGGAUUCUGCAGCACAAUGCAACGAUACUGUUUGAAAGUAACUCCUUGUUUUGUCCAGGUGUGUUUUUGUCACCACCUCAUAAACAUCGUGCAAUGCCUAAGCGGCAGGCAGAGAGAAUUACAAAAAACUCAUUUCCGAAGAAAAUUUAUUAAAUUUGAGACCAAAACGAAUGUACGAAUUUCGCUAAAUUGGGGUAAUUUGCUAUUGAAAAGUGCAAUACUGAUUACAACUAAAUCAAAUGAAUGUUGUUCUUUCAUUUUUGAUAUUUACACUUACUUUUUAUCAAUGGUAGAUCUGACAUAAAUGCGACGUUGUCAUCCAU